rnacentral:pre_miRNA from 1 species
AGUAAAAUUGCUGGUCAUAUGGUCACUCUGUGUUUAACUUUUUGAGUAACUGCCAAACUGUUUUCCAAAGUGGCUGUACCAUUUUACAAUUCCACCAGCAAA